rnacentral:tRNA from 1 species
UACCGAUAAAUUGAUUCGAACAAUUGCCUUUUGGUUAUGAGCCAAACGUGCUUCCAUUACACCAUAUCGAU